AGUCACUGACAUUAGAUACCCGGGUAGUCCUAGGCGUAAAUGAUGCGAGUUAAGUNUGGGGGCAUCUACGAGAUGGCCCUGUGCUGUAGGGUAGCCGUUAAACUCGCUGCCUGGGGAGUACGGUCGCAAGGCUGAAACUUAAAGGAAUUGCGGGGAGCACCACAAGAGGUGGAGGCUGCGGUUCAAUUGGACUCAACGCCGGAAAACUCAUCGGGAGCGACAGCAGUAUGAUUGCCAGGUUGAUGACCUUGCUUGACAAGCUG
rnacentral:rRNA from 1 species